rnacentral:misc_RNA from 1 species
UUUUAAGUCAAAAGUUAAAAGUAAGUAAUCAAACUAAACACUCUCUUAGAUUUUUAGCUAGAAAGAAGGAAAGGAAUUAUGAUUCUAAACUGCUUCAAUGUCUCAAUAAAUUUUUUAUGAUUGGAUUCCUACUUUGAAGUCCUGUGAAUUUUCUUCCUCAUCAAAAAGAUUAGAAACUGCUUCAAUGUCUUGAUAAAAAUUUGUCAUGAUAUUGGAUUGCUACGCUGAAGUCCUGUGAAUAUUCUUCCUCAUCCAAAAGAUUGUGAGUUUCAGGAAAUGCCUAAGUUCAUCUCUUCUAGACACUUUCUGAGACUAGCAUUGGGACAUAUGAAAAGAUGGUAUGGGAAUAGUAAUUAUCCUUACUGAUACACAAAAUCAUUACUAUUUUUUUUUCCCCUCCAAGUUAAUACAAUAAGAGCAGACCAGAUGAGAACCGCUGUUUGUUUUGCUAUGACCCCACUCUUCUUCUUUUCAAGAAAACUGUGAUGAUAGACUUGACCAUUUCUGUUCAUUUUUUAACCUUUUUAUUUCUUUCUUUUCAGGUUUGUGCUGUAUCUGUCGGCUUUGUCUGAUGAUGCUCAUCAGGGGAAGAAGUCACUAAAUGCAGCUAUGAAUGCCCUUUUCACUUGUCCUGAUUCUGUGAAUCUUGAAAGUAGUUGUGCAGAUCAAAAUGAAAAUGCAGAACUAAAACCCACUCUACUUUGGAGCGCAUUGUAUAUUCAGGAGCUUGCAA